rnacentral:rRNA from 1 species
CCUACGGGAGGCAGCAGUGGGGAAUAUUGCACAUUGGGGGAAACCCUGAUGCAGCGACGCCGCGUGAGUGAAUAAGUAUUUCGGUACGUAACGCUCUAUCAGCAGGGACGAUAAUGACGGUACCUGCCUAAGAAGCCCCGGCUAACUACGUGCCAGCAGCCGCGGUAAUACGUAGGGGGCAAGCGUUAUACGGAUUUACUGGGUGUAAAGGGAGCGUAGACGGCAGCGCAAGUCUGGAGUGAAAUCCCAUGGCUUAACCAUGGAACUGCCUUGGAAACUGUGCAGCUAGAGUGCAGGAGAGGUAAGCGGAAUUCCUAGUGUAGAGGUGAAAUGCGUAGAGAUUAGGAGGAACACCAGUGGCGAAGGCGGCUAACUGGACUGUAACUGACGUUGAGGCUCGAAAGCGUGGGGAGCAAACAGGAUUAGAUACCCGUGUAGUC